GAUGAACGCUGGCGGCGUGCCUAAUACAUGCAAGUCGAACGAACCGACCAGGACCUUUCUCCUCUGAUGUUGGCGGCGGACGGGUGAGUAACAUGUGGUUAACCUACCUCUCAGACUGGGGUAACUUCGGGGAACCGGAGCUUAUACCGGAUAACUUGUUGCACCUCAUUGUUCAACAGUUGAAUACGGUAUUGCUUUCACUUAUAGAUGACUCAGCGCCGCAUUCACAAGUUGGUAAGGUAACUGCUUACCAACGCAACGACGCGAAGCCGACCUGAGAGGGUGAUCGGCCACACGGGAACUGAGAAACGGUCCCGACUCCUGCGGGAGGAGGCAGUAGGGAAUCUUCCGCAAGGGGGGAAAGCCUGACGGAGCAACGUCGCGGGAGGGAAGAAGGUCUUAGGAUCGGAAAGCUCUGUAAUUAGGGAAGAACAAAAGUUUAAGUAACCAGGCACGUAUUGACGGUACCUAAACAGAAAGCCCCGGCUAACUACGUG
rnacentral:rRNA from 1 species